GGCCUCAUAUCUCAGUGAUUAGAGCACUGGUCUUGUAAACCAGCGGGUGUGAGUUCAAUUCUCACUGAGGUCU